UACGAAGGAUGCAAGCGUUACUCGGAAUUACUGGGCGUAAAGCGUGCGUAGGUGGUCGUUUAAGUCCGUUGUGAAAGCCCUGGGCUCAACCUGGGAACUGCAGUGGAUACUGGGCGACUAGAGUGUGGUAGAGGGUAGCGGAAUUCCUGGUGUAGCAGUGAAAUGCGUAGAGAUCAGGAGGAACAUCCAUGGCGAAGGCAGCUACCUGGACCAACAUUGACACUGAGGCACGAAAGCGUGGGGAGCAAACAGG
rnacentral:rRNA from 1 species